rnacentral:lncRNA from 1 species
GUUUAAAACCUUAAUGCUGUCUAAAGGAAAAGUUCAGUUUAGUGUUUAAAACCCUAAUGCUGACUAAAGGAAAAGUUCAGUUUAGGGUUUAAAACACUAAUUUUGUCUAAAGAAAAAGUUCAGUUUAGGGUUUAAAACCCUAAUGCUGACUAAAGGAAAAGUUCAGUUUAGGGUUUAAAACCCUAAUGCUGACUAAAGGAAAGAGUUCAGUUUAGGGUUUAAAACCCUAAUGCUGACUAAAGGAAAAGAGUUCAGUUUAGGGUUUAAAAACCCUAAUGCUGACUAAAGGAAAAAGUUCAGUUUAGGGUUUGAAACCCUAAUGCUGACUAAAGGAAAAGAGUUCAAUUUAGGGUUUAAAACCCUAAUGCUAACUAAAGGAAAAGAGUUCAGUUUAGGGUUUAAAACCCUAAUGCUGACUAAGGGAAAGAGUUCAGUUUAGGGUUUAAAACCCUAAUGUUGUCUAAAGGAAAAGUUCAGUUUAGGGUUUAAAACCCUAAUGUUGACUAAAGGAAAAGUUCAGUUUAGGGUUUAAAACCCUAAUGCUGACUAAAGGAAAGAGUUCAGUUUAGGGUUUAAAACCCUAAUACUGUCUAAAGGAAAAGUUUAGUUUAGGGUUUAACCUAAUGUUGACUAAAGGAAAAGUUCAGUAUAGGGUUUAAAACCCUAAU